CACUUGGUUGAGCUAAGGGUAGAAAUAGGUGUUGGAGAUUGAGGUCCAGAUUUCGAACCCUUAGGAGGAGCAUAUGUAAUUUCUAACAACUAACCACUAACAUUUGCUUAUAAAAAAAAGGCUUAAAUGCAUUUGGUGCCCCUGAUGUUCCAGGUUCGUGCAAAUUGGUUGGAGAGGUUCGAGCCCGGACCUUAUAGUGACAAAACACACAUAUUACCAAUUGAGCUACAUGCACAAUUGUUAUAAUUGACAACAUAAUUUUAUUUAUUUCAUAUAUCUUCCCUAUAUAUCUUCCUCAUCAUUCAUCUUCUUCCCUAACCCCAACGACCCAACCCAGAUUGAACCUCCUUCCUCCGCAGCCUUACCAGCCACCGUCGCCGCACUGCAACCAUGUAGAAGAGAAAGGUUAGGGAGCCUAAGGAAGACAACGUGACUCUGGGUCCAGCUGUUAGGGAUGGUGAACAUGUCUUUGGCAUUGCUCGCAUCUUUGCUUCCUUCAAUGACACUUUCAUUCAUGUCACUGAUUUGUCUGGCAGGGAAACCCUUGUCCGCAUCACUGGUGGAAUGAAGGUGAAAGCUGACAGAGAUGAGUCAUCUCCUUAUGCAGCUAUGCUUGCAGCCUAGGAUGUUGCUACCCUGAUUAGAUUUCAUGAACAGAACCUUAAGAAUUUGAUUAUCUUCUGAUGGCCAUU